rnacentral:rRNA from 1 species
UACGGAGGGGACUAGCGUUGUUCGGAAUUACUGGGCGUAAAGCGCACGUAGGCGGAUUUGUAAGUCAGGGGUGAAAUACCGGGGCUCAACCUCGGAACUGCCUUUGAUACUGCAAAUCUCGAGUCCGGUAGAGGUGAGUGGAAUUCCUAGUGUAGAGGUGAAAUUCGUAGAUAUUAGGAAGAACACCAGUGGCGAAGGCGGACU